UACAGAGGUCUCAAGCGUUGUUCGGAUUCAUUGGGCGUAAAGGGUGCGUAGGCGGCGCGGUAAGUCGGGUGUGAAAUCUUGGAGCUUAACUCCGAAACUGCAUUCGAUACUGCCGUGCUUGAGGACUGGAGAGGAGACUGGAAUUUACGGUGUAGCGGUGAAAUGCGCAGAUAUCAGGAGGAACACCGGUGGCGAAGGCGGGUCUCUGGGCCGUAACUGACGCUGGAGGAGCGAAAGCCGUGGGGAGCGAAACAGGG
rnacentral:rRNA from 1 species